rnacentral:ncRNA from 1 species
GGGCUCGUAAAAAGGAGAGCUAGUUUGCAUCUCUCUCUACAAGGAUGGAAUCAUUCUUCUUGGGAGUGGACUAGAUGGAUGGGCGGCCUAGAUUUAUUA